rnacentral:antisense_RNA from 1 species
UGUGGGAGCGAGCUUGCUCGCGAAGGCGGUGGAUCAGCCGGCGCAGAUGUUGAAUGUACCGGCUUCAUCGCGAGCAAGCUCGCUCCCACA